UCACUGUCAUUAUUCAGUGCUCUUUUAUUAUUGUCUAUUUCUCCUCCAACUUGGCUACACUCACAAAGUGAUAAAAACUUGCAUUUGUUUUCUUUCCUUUUCAGAGACAGCGUCUUGCUCUGUUGCUUAGGCUACAGUACAGUGACAUGAUCAUGGUUCACUGUAGCCUCAAACUCCUGGGCUCAAGUGGUUCUCUCACUUCAGUCUCCCAAGUAGCUGGGACUACAGACAUGUGCCACCAUGUCCAGAAACAGGACCUUGCCCUGUCACUCAGGAUGGAGUUCAGUGGUCCUAUCAUGGCUCAUUAUAGCCUCAAACUCCCAGGCUCAAGCAAUCCUACCAUGUCAGCCUUCCCAGUAGCUGGGACUACAGGUAAGCAUCGUGACACUCAGUGAAUUUUGUUUUUAUUUUGUUGUAGAGAUGGGACCUCAGUAUGUUGCCAUGGCUGACCUUGAACUCCUGCACUCAAGGGAUUUUCCUACCCUGGCCUCCCAAAGUAUUGGUAUUACAGGCAUGAGCCAUUGUGCCCACCGUCUCUGGUUCUUAACCUUCUGCCUCCCUCUUCCAGUUUUAAAGAAUGCUUGUAAUUACAUGGGCUCUCCUAGAUACUCCAGGAUAAUCUUGUUUUAAGGUCAGCUGAUGAGCAACAUUAAUUUUAUCUGCACUCUUAAUUCCCCCUUCCUCUGUAACUGUGCUGUGUAACAUAGGACAUGAGCAAUUGGUGGCGGUGGGGGUUAUUACUUUGGCCACCACAGUAACUAUUUUAUGCCAGGUACUCAGCUAAGCACUGGUGAAUUAAGCAUGAAUAACACACACUCCCUAAUCUCCAUCCAUUCAUGGGAGGAGCACUUCACCUGCCAUGCUCCUGAGAAUCUCGGGAGUCAUAGAAGUCUUCUAUGAGGAGGUGAUGCCAAAGCGGACAAGUGACAGAGGAGUCAAAGCUAGCUAGGAAGAGAGUAGAGGUUUAAGGGGAAGCAUAUUAUAAGCAGAGGAUAUUACCCACUUCAGAGACUCCCAGAGGAGAAAGAGUGUGCGUUCAAGGGGCAGAUGAGGCUCAGUUGGACUCCAUAGCAGAUGAAAUGGAGAGGGGCAAGCAGUGAGGCUGCCUUGCAAGGCAGGGCAGAGCAGGGGCUGUUAAGGAGUUUGGACUUAAUCCCUGAGGCAAGGAGAAGUGAUGUAAAUGGGGGAGUAACAUGAUGAGAUUCAUAGAUUAGAGACAUGGCUCAGGCUGCUGUAGAGAAGGCACCGGGAAGAGCAGAUGGCUCAAUGUGUGUGCAGAAGACCUCUCCCUGAGUUUAGGGAGAGGUUUUUAAAACAGAAGAAGUUUGAGUAAUUUAAAUGAUGAUGGGAAGGAGCUAAAAGUGGGGGAUAGGUUAAAGAUACAGGAAAGUGGGAGGAAGAACUGACAAGUGAGGUUCCAGAGAGGGCAGGAGAAGAGGAGAUUCCCAUAGGGGGAUUAACACUUUCUUUUCUUUUUUCUUUCUAAGACAGGGUCUCACUCUGUCGCCCAGGCUGGAGUGCAGUGGCACAAUCUUGGCUCACUGUAGUGUAGACUUCCCAGGCUCAAGGGAUUUCUCCCACCCCAGACUCCCAAGUAGCUGGAACUACGGGUGUGCACCACCACCACACCUGGCUAAUGUCUCUUUUUUUUGGUAGACACAGAGUCUCACUAUUUAGCACUGAUUGGUCUCCAACUCCUGGCCUCAAGCGAUCCUCCUGCCUAGGCUUCCCAAAUUGCUGGGAUUACAGGCAUGAGCCACAAUGCCUGGCCUCUGCUAGUUCCGUAUUCUCUAGAGUUGUCUUUACUUUGUGCUAGUGUGUCCCUCAUUGUGCUGAUCCUCUGUAAAAAUUAAUACCUUUUUUUUU
rnacentral:lncRNA from 10 species